AGUUCCAGUGGCCUAGUGGUUAGAGCGUCCAACUCGGAUACAGGAGGUCGUGGGUUCGAUUCCCGGUGGAGUCA